CUAAGCCUCCUACAAUGUAGAUGACAUUGCAAGCUAACUUCUAGGCUAUGUUAUAAGUGGUAAAAGCCUGUUUAAAUAAAAUCAGUAACAAACUUAUUGAAAUAUUGAUAUUAUACCAGGGGGUUACGAGAAGAACCUAGUUGAAAUAUAUUUAUUGAUAUGGAACAGAUUUAGUGAUUCAUAGCACCGUACGAGAUGACAAUAUUACUUCGAUGGAUGCAACUGUCAAUUGGGAAUUGAGUAGGCAAUGGGUUUAGCAACCGAGAAUAAACGUUUAAAUAAAUUCAUUGUAAUAAGUGUCUAAUGAGUUUUGUUUUUAUUUUAGGGGUUUUUAUUUUUAUUUUUUUUUGGAGUUUUGGAGUUCGUUUUACUUGGAGUUUUCGUUUUUGGAUUUUUGUAUAUGGUUUCUGGUUUUACUUUUUGUGGAUGUUUUUGGUUACAUUUGGAUGCUAAGAGUCGUCAUUGGAUACAAGUAUAUGUGGUGAAGAAGAUUUCUACUAACGAAUUGUAGUUUGUUACCAGACUAUGGAGGAUAUCAGGUUUUUAUAACAAUGUUAAACAUUUAAAUUCAUUUGUCUUAUUUAUUUUAUAUUAUUUAAUGAUAGUAAAUAUUUUAGGUUCUUUUUUUGUUAACAAAUUAACGUGUUCCUUUUUUUUAUUAUUAUUAUUAAAAUUUAUUGGGGAUAGUCAUACAUUCAACUUUAUAUACAUAUAACUUAUUAUAGAGGUCAUUAUAGUACAUUACUUUUUAGAUUUGUAUUAGUGGCACUCAUGAGCUCAUGCGGCAACUAUAGGGUAGGCACUAGUAUCGCCAAUGUUUAAAAUAUUUCUAAUCUGUAAAUUUAAAUUAUUUUGAUAUUCAUUUCCUUAGCCACUUUAUGCUACCAAUGACUGGACUUGUUUAUUUUCAUAUUUAUUUGUGUUGCAACUGUUUAAUAAAUAAAUGUAAGUAAACCUA
rnacentral:lncRNA from 1 species